rnacentral:rRNA from 1 species
CCGACGGUGAGGGGCGAAAGCUGGGGGAGCGAACCGGAUUAGAUACCCGGGUAGUCCCAGCCGUAAACGAUGCGCGUUAGGUGUAUCGAUGACCACGAGUCAUCGAGGUGCCGAAGGGAAACCGUGAAACGCGCCGCCUGGGAAGUACGGUCGCAAGGCUGAAACUUAAAGGAAUUGGCGGGGAGCACCACAACAGGUGGAGCCUGCGGUUUAAUCGGACUCAACGCCGGAAAUCUCACCGGAUAAGACAGCUGAAUGAUAGCCGGGCUGAAGACUCUGCUUGACUAGCUGAGAGGAGGUGCAUGGCCGUCGUCAGUUCGUACUGUGAAGCAUCCUGUUAAGUCA